UUCUAAUAUAAACAAACUUGACAAUAUUAAUCUUAUUAUUUUCCUUUUGCAUGUAUGAAGAAGAAUAUAAUUUUAUUAUUUUUUAAUAUAUAAAAAGUCCAUGGUUUCCUUUUUCUUUUUCUUUUUUUGAAUGGGAGCUAAUGCUUUCCUAAUAUAAAUUAAAUAGGGUUUUAGUCCUUAUGGAGUUUUAAAAAUCAAUUCCUAAAAUAAAUCAUUUAUUAAAUGUGUCAUGAAUACAUUCAUUUGCUGAUUUUUGUCUCUUCAACGCACUUAGCUUGACACUUCCAUAAAAUACUUACUAAUCAUAAGAAUUCAUUUUUUUUUUAACACACAUGUACACCUGCCCUCACUACACCUCGGUUUAAUACACCUGCUGCGCACACUACACCACGGUUUAGAAGGAAGUGGGCAAUAAUCUUUUGGACAAUCAGAAUUUUCAAAACAUUUAGGAGCAGCUGUAACGAAAAAAGAAAAUAAAAAAAUAUAAAUAUAAUGUCAUAAAAUAUUGGGUAGGAAGUAAAUAGGCAAUAAUCUUUUGGACAAUCAGAAUUUUCAAAACAUUUAGGAGCAGCUGUAACGAAAAAAGAAAAUAAAAAAAUAUAAAUAUAAUGUCAUAAAAUAUUGGGUAGGAAGUAAAUAAAGAAAUUUGAAAAGGAUAGAAAAAAUACUUACCAUCAGCAUUCAUUGCAACAACAAGUUUGAAAAGAAAGAUAAACAUAACACAAACAAACUUGACAAUUUGACCCAUAUUUCACCCCUUUGUAUGUAUAAACUAGAAUAUGAUUUUAUCACUUUAUAAGCUAAAAAGUUUAGCCCUUAUAGAGUUGUAAGUUUUUAAAAAAAAUAAGAUAUAUUAUAAUUAAAUGCUUCUUAAGUACAUCAAAGUGUUGUAUUUGUCCUUUCCACACACUUAAUAAAGAGAUCACAUAUAAGAAAUCACAUAUAAGAAAUUACUUUAUCAUAUGAAUUCAUUCAUUGUUAAUAAUAAACUUCCGUGACUUGAUAACUUUUCAUGAUUGAGAAAGGAAAAUUACAAAAGAUACCAAAACAUAGAUAUUUUCAAACAAGUUUUCACAUUAUUUGGAUAUUGGCUGAGGUGAAAUCUAUUCUAAUAGGUGCUAGUUUUUUUAAUUAAAAAAAACACACCAUCUAUCUUCUCAGUUGGGAAACCAAUAGUUAGGAAAAGUCCCGCAAGUAUAGACUUUGAUUCUCAACAUCUAUAAUUUUGUGUUUUAUUAAAUAUUAAGUUAAGUAUUUUUCUUUAAUUAAAAAUCAGACUUGUAUUUGUCAAAAAGUACGGGUGUGCAUGGUAUCCCUACGCAGGUAUGAGAUACUCAGAGGCUUUUGUAAAUGAUGGUGUUUAGGACUUGCCUCCGGCGAGAGGCCCUGUUAGGUGGUGUUUUAUGGUGGUAUGAAAGGGUCAAUUCACGUGAGGUGAGAGACUCUGUGUAUAACUAAUAUACUUAGAGUGUAAUGAUUUGUCUCUCCCGUUGAAGGAAGAAGUGAUUAAAGAGAUCCUUAGGCAUAAGGUUUGAAAAACCCUGAAUAAUGAUAAUCGCUCCCCUUGAUUGGGAAAGACUAUUGACCACCUAUUUUCAAGGGAGUCAUGGUAUGAUUUAGUCUACACAAUUAGUGGGGAGAUACUUGUAAUAUACACAUCAUUUAUCCUAAGGGUGACACCCUCAUACCCCAUAUAGGUAGCGCCCAAGAGAUGCCUUAUGGGGCGAGGAUCCCGACGUGGCUCUUAUUUAAGUCUCUCACAAAUAUAACACUACACAGUUCCUCAAACACGAGGCGUUGUAGAGGGAAAAGUAUUUUAAUUUUUUUUCAGGUUUUGUUUCGUGGUCUUGGCUGAGUCCUUUGAUAUGAGACAAAUCCCUCAAUUUGUGAUGUGUCCCUCGACUGGAGAUGACCUUUUUGAAUGGGAGGUGAAUCCCUCAACUCGGGGCGUCUCCCUCAUCUAAAGGCAUCCCUUUUAAUGGGGGCGAGCCCCUCCACCAAAAUGGUGAGUCCCUUAGUUGAAGGCGUCCUUUUUAAUUUUGUCAAAAUCAUUAUGGUGAAAUUUUGUUCUUAAGGGGACAAAUGUUGAACCGGAUGCUUAAGCUGAUGUGUUUAACAUCUUAUACCAGAAUUAAUAGAUAAUAGAAAACAAAUAAAAUAUCAUCAAACAAUUAAAGAACACAAGAGAAUUGUUAACCCACUUCAGUGUAAACAACACUUACAUCUGGGGAGCUUCCAACCCAAGAAAGGAAAUCCACUUACAGAAUUAGUACAAAGUGUCUUAGAUGAACAAUCCUAGUUAAAUGCCUCACUUCUUAAAUAUACCUGUAUAUUUCUAUUUCUGACACAUCUAAAAUAUGAGAACCCCUUAACUUUCUCUCAAUCACUAACCCUAGUGAUCACUACAAUAAUCAUAAUAUUGAAUGUUGAAUUACAACUCAACUAACAAACCAAACUCCAUGCUUUUAGAUAUGAAUGCAAGCGCUAGAGUGGUGGACAAAUAAUAACAUAAACAAAAGAGUCAAAAAUAGAAACUCUAACACAUAGAUCUUCAAUACUUGCAAACUUCAAACAUUAUGUUUGAGUCUCCUUAAAUAGAAAUUCAAUCUUCUAGGAUAUCUCUAAUGAGCAUAAGAUUUGAUCACAUCCAAAUUUGUAGAGGAUUAUGUUUUUAUUUGUUUUUCAAAAACCUCCAAAAAUAUUUGAUUUUUUUGAAUCAAAUAUAAAUCUCUAACUGAUUUGAUCCUACUAAUAUGCCAAACAAAUCUAAUUAAUUCAUUAUUAAAAGAUAACAACAAAUCUGAUAGAAACCCAACCAAAAUUUACACUCAGAACAACAUCCAUCAAGGCCUGCUGAUAUGUGCCAGAUGUUGCACACAUGUUGGAACAUCUGGUCCCACAUGUGGCCUUCCUUCACCAAAACAUCUUGCACACUCCAUGUUGUUUUACAUAAUGUAGCAAAUCCAAAAGAAACAACAAUCUUCCCUUUAGAAACUUUUAGCAAAACAACUCUUUUAAAACUUACAAGAUGUGCCAUACAAACUGAGCAACAUAAGAACACCACAAACAAAACACACAGAGCAAACAACAACAAAAGUAGCACAAAAUAAGAAUAUAUAUAUAAUGUGGUUGCUACAUAAAAAACAAAUCAAACACAAUGCUCCCAAUCAUGCAUACCCACAAUUAACCAUGCAUACCCACAUUCAAAGUUAGUAGUCAUUAGAAGUCAAUCAGGAUAGUCAGCACACACUACUACACAUCAAUCAUCAGAAUUCCCACACUCAUAGAGAUCAUCUUAUAAAUGCUCAUAGUUGAAGGCCAAAUGUCAGACCUUAUUUAAAUAUAGUUUAACUAUGAAAAUUUUGAAGCUUUGAAGCUUUGAAGUUUAAUUAAAUUUUAACAAUUAUUACAAAGAUCUAUGAGACCUUAUUUAAAUAUAAUUUAACUAUGAAAAUUUUGAAGCUUUGUAUAAUAACCCGUAUUGCACAUCCUUAAAGAUAAUUCUAAGAAUAGGCAACAUAUUUUGUCUUAUGUAAUUAUAUAUUUAAACCUGUCCUAGUUGAUAGUUUUGAGAGGCUGCAAGUGGUUCAAAACUUAGAGUUAGAUUCACCUCAUUAAAACUGAACUUCAUUGAUUUAAAACAAAUAUGGUAUUAUUAUAUAACCAGUAUCUUAGUUCAUAUAUAUACUAAUGUUCUAUUAGAAUAAUUGCAUGAAAACACAUGCAAAAAGACAAUAUCUUACUUACGAUACAAAACAAUAUUAUUAAAGUAAUGUAAAUCUAAAUCACGUUUUAGACUACAAACUACUUUUAACUUUCUCUUUAGAAUUCACCUUCAAGAUAAAUAGAAAUUUAAACGCAUGGUGAUAUGGUAAUAAAAGUAUAUACAACGGCUGAAUAUAAUGCUUAUUUUUGUUUAAUCUAAAAAAUUAGGAUACAAAAGAAAGAAAAAAAGUUCAUGGUAUUGAUGUGAAUCAAUGUAUAUUGCUAAUGCUUAUUUUUGUUUAAUCCAAAAAAUUAGGAUAAAAAAGAAAAAAAAGUUCAUGGUAUUGAUGUGAAUCAAUGUAUAUUACUGCAUAACCGGAUUCUAACGAAGUUUUAAUUGGUAAAGCGGAGUAUUAUUCAAGGAGUUCAUAAUUUAGUUUGCUCUUUCCGCUUCAAUGAGGAUGAAGAUGAAACUCAUAUGUUCUUAACUUGCAAAUUCAGCUCAAAUGUUUGGGAUAAAGUGUUUGCUUGGUUGGAUUUUGAUUUUGUAUCCAAAAUAAGUUAUAUCCCCUCUCAACUAUUUUUCUUUUGUGAGUUCGUUAAGUGUAAUUUACUGGAAAAUACAUAUUCUUUCUUCUGGUGUGUUGUCUAAUGGAUUUUGUGACUUCGCAAGAAUUCUAUUUUAUUUAAGGGCAGAGUCUUAAGACUCAUAGUUAAUAUAAUUAUUGUAAUGUGUAUUAAGCGGAUAUUCUGAUAUUGAUUCCAAAUUAAGCUCAAAUAUUCUAUAUCUCAUUCCACUAUAAGAAAUAAGCGUAUUAGCCUCAACUUUAUAGCGUCGGCCCCAACAUUGACGCUAUUCGUGUAUGAUUUGUAUAACCUAUACGAACGCUAAAAGGAUAAUUAUUUUGUUUUAAACAAUUUAAUAUAUUUAAAUAUAUUUUUUUUAUUUAUUGAAAAUAUUAACGUCGAUGUGACCGACGCUAAUGGAAUUCUAUUAAAGCACCAAACUAUUUCACUAUAUUAAUUUUAUUGAUUAGUUAGCUACUGAUAGACUGAGACUAACUAAUUUAACAUUUUUUAUUUAUUUUUGUUUGACCGCGUAGCCACGGUCGCUACGUAUUUUUCUUUCUUUAUUUAUUUGUUUAUUUUAUUUCCCUAUUUUUUUUUUCGCUUAGCGUCAAUUCUUUUUAGCUUUAUUUAUUUAUCAUUUUAAUAUUUGUGUCAGUUUAACGGAUGCUAAAAGAUUUUGUUGACUUUCAUCGGUUGAUUAUACAGUUAGUCAAGUCGACGCUACUUUGGUGCCAUUAACUUUUCCUUGGUUGACUAUAGAGUCAGUCAAGCAGACGUUACUAGAAAAUAUUGACUUUUUGUGUAGAUUAUAGAGUCGGUAAGCCGAUUCUAAACAUAUCAAUUGACUUUUUCGUUGACUUUAGAGUCCGUGUAUGCAACGUUAAAUAUAGUUGACUUUGCUAUGUUGAUUUUAGGGUUAGACAAGUAGACACUAGAGUUUUUUUUACUUUUAUAAGUUGACCUUAAUGUCGGUUGGCCGACGCUAUUAUAAAAUGUUGAUUUUUGUUUGUUGACUUUAGAGUUGGCUAGGGCACUGCUAAACAUAAUCGUUCAUGAUUUUGAAACAAUAUAGUGUCGAAUCAUUUAAUGGACUAUUAUAAAAUGUUGAUUUUUGUUUGUUGACUUUAGAGUCGGCUAAGGCACUGGUAAGCAUAAUUGUUGAUUGUUCAUGAUUUUGAAAUAAUAUAGUGUCGAAUCAUUUAAUGUCCUCUUAGUCUCGGUGCAUCUCUAGCAGAAGCUACACAGUAGCUUCGCAACUUUUAUCUAAGGCCCGACACCGACGUUAAAUACACCAUUUUUCACCUUUAACGUCUCCUUUUUCUAAUGGUGCUCGUAGGAGAAUUUAGAAUCUAAUCCAUGAUCCUAUUUUGUCCCCUAGUAGAAUAUGUUUUUUUUCUUGCUCUAGUUUUCUUAUAGUUAGGAUUGAGUAACCCUUAUACUUAUUUUAAUUCUAAUUCAAGUUGGUUAUUAAAAUAGAAAUAGCAAAAUAAUUGUAAUAAUAAACAUUUGUUACUUAAGAAAAUUGAAAUAGAAAAAUAAUUGUAAUAAUAAACAAACUUAAUUUUAAUUUUAUUAUUCUCCUUUUGGAUGUAUCAAGAAGAAUAUAAUUUUAUUAUUUUAUAAUAUAUAAAAAGCUCAUGGUUUCCUUUUUGUUUUUCUUUUUGAAUGGGAGCUAAUGCUUUCCUAAUAUAAAUUCAAUAGGUUUUAGUCCUUAUGGAGUUUUAAAAAUCAAUUCCUAAAACAAAUCAUUAUUAAAUGUAUCAUAAAACAUUCAUUGCUGAUUUUUGUCUCUUCAACGCACUUAGCUUGACACUUCCAUA
rnacentral:lncRNA from 1 species